rnacentral:sRNA from 1 species
GGGAGCAACCUGACCCCUGCUCAUCACUACAAUGACUUUCGUUUCAAGACCUAUGCACCUGUUGCCUUCCGCUACUUCCGGGAGCUAUUUGGUAUCCGGCCCGAUGAUUACUUGUAUUCCCUCUGCAGUGAGCCGCUGAUUGAACUCUGUAGCUCUGGAGCUAGUGGUUCCCUAUUCUAUGUGUCCAGCGACGAUGAGUUCAUUAUUAAGACAGUCCAACAUAAAGAGGCGGAAUUUCUGCAGAAGCUGCUUCCAGGAUACUACAUGAGUCUCGCUCUGUUGUCCAAGCUGGAGUGCAGUUGCACAAUCUCGGCUCACUGCAACCUCCGCCUCCCAGAACCUCAACCAGAACCCUCGGACUUUGCUGCCUAAAUUCUAUGGACUGUACUGUGUGCAGGCAGGUGGCAAGAACAUUCGGAUUGUGGUGAUGAACAAUCUUUUACCAAGAUCGGUAAAAAUGCAUAUCAAAUAUGACCUCAAAGGCUCAACCUACAAACGGCGGGCUUCC